GUAAAUCUGUUUAUACCAAGUAAUGUGAGAUAUUCAAACUUCAACAUACUCUUAUGUAUGCAUUUCAAGUCUUGUAUUAUAUACUAUAAUCUCUUGGAGAGAGAGCGUGAUACUUGUGUAUAGAUCUAUACGGGAUUGACAACCCCGCACCUAAACUAUUAGCUUUAGUUAGACCGGCAGGUCUGGGGUGACAAAUGUCAUAACACUACAACACCUGAAGAAUGUUGUUACAGGCCGUCAGUGUCAAUAGUAUGGUUAUAAAACUCACAUAAAAGUAUAAAAACAAGUUUGAUUUACGAGAUUCAUAUAUGCAUUCAGUUUUCCACAACAUUUUUAGUACAAGGUUUAUCAUUAUUAUUCAAGUAUGGAACAUACUAACGCACACCAACUCUGGAAACUUUUCAAACCAUUUAUAGAAAAUAUUGGAUUUUCUGAAAACCUCGUUCAUCGAUUUACUACAAAAAGGACAUAAUUUUCAAUGAGAAACACUUAUGAACUCACCAACUUAAUUGUUGACACUUUUUCAAAACCACUUGUAUUUCUCAGGGAAUCAGUAAUACAGGUAACCUACCAGCUUUUGAAGAAGGAACGCUAAGGACGUUUUAUUAUUGAACAUUUAUCAUNUAUGUAUAACGCAACAACAUACGUUUUCAUUAUAUAUGUGAUGGUUGUGUUACUUUCUUUACAAUAUUCAAUGGUUGUGAUACUACGUGAAGUCAUCCACCCCCGAAUGUUUCCGCCAUUCUGGUUUGGGGGUGUGACAGAUUGGUAUCAGAGCAUUGUUUAUAGUGAACUAAGUAUAUCGAACCACAUAAGAUAUACAAACUAUAAAUGCAAAAGGGACCAAAAACCCUCUGACAAAACGUUUUCAUGAACAAUAUAUUUUCUUUUAAAAAUAUACAUCUUUAAUCGCAUAUAUUAGUCUCGUAUCAUGGCAAGUUUUCUAAAAAGUAUUAAGGCAAGUUGCGACACUACGAUUGGGCCUCGUGGUAUGUAAUUAGGUCGAGAAUAAAUAUAGCCUGAUCAACUAUAUUUAUCCUAGAUUUGACCAACGUACGAGGAGGAAUGGUCAUAGUGGACAAUAAGCCAAAAACUUACCAAAUACAAAUUAUUUUAGAUUUCGCCAAAUUGAAAUACUAUAGGAGUAUUGUUAAAAGUAAUUGUACAAUAAAAUAUUUACGCUCCGUAAAAAUAUAGUUAAACAUAGGAAGUCGUUAAAUAGAAAUUUCUUUUCUUAUAAAAUUCUCAUAACUCUAUCCUAGUAUAGACAAAUGGCCGGAUUCCAUUUACCCAGAGAUCCCUACUACCCAAACCAAGCCAAUGGCGGGUGGAUAGAAGAAGACCCGGAGGAAGACCCAGAGGAAAUCGAAGAAGAGGUCGAAGAAGAGUUCGAGGAGGGAGUCGAAGAAGAAUUCGAAAUCGAAGUCGGAGAAGAAUUCGAAGUCGAUGAGGAGAUUGUGGAAGUUUCUAGCGGAACAGACUCUGAACCAGAAGUAAUCGACCCUCCCAUCCCUCAUCCCCCGAAAUCAGACCAUAUCAACCGGGAACCAUUCCCAUGUGGGGAAGCCACCUCUACUACUGGAGCCGCCAACAAGGUGUACGCCCUCCCUUCGGCAUGUGCCGAGAUUUUUGCAAUGUCAAUGGGGGAGGCUCAGCUGAUCAAGCACUUCCUAUUAUCGUGAACGCUAUAGCUACCCAUAACUACCAGGCGGACCAACAAGCAGCCAGAGUUCGCGAGGUCAAUGCUGCUACUCAAGGUGACACCGCAGACCUCCGCCGUUUGGAAGGACUACAUGAGAAUACCCAAAUCUACACAGGGACGCUUCAGAACCAAAUGAUAACGGCUCUAGCAGAAAUAAGAGAGAUGAAGGAACAACAAGCAGAUCUCGAGAGGCGCCUGAUGGGAGUCAAACGGUCGGAUGCCGAAUCGAGCUCCAAACGCCGCAAAUAGAGCUUGUUCAAACCCCAACAAUUUUGUUUUAAAAUAGGAUUUCGGAUAAUAGUUUUUCCCUUAUUUCCUUUUGUAUCUGUAAUCGGAGACCUCUAGGUAGGUCAAAUUUUCCAAACAAGAAGUGUAAUGUAACACACCUCAGGUGUGACCUAUAUAUAUAAAUAUGAAGUACUACUUUGUAUACCUCUCGGAACUUAUGGGAUUAACUAAAAAUUUCUAUACCUACCUUGAAACCAUAAACUAAAGUCAAAACAAAUUACAAGAUACAACUAACACACGAUUGUCAAAACAUUAGAAACUUAUAGUAUUCAUUCUUAUUUUCUCUACCAGAACAUGCCUCCUCGUAGAUCAACACGCAGAAACUCAACUUCAACACCACCUCCACCACCUCCUCCAAUUAUGGAUGCCGUUAUGUUCCACACUGCUGUAACCGCAGCGAUGGCUCAAAUGAGCAACAACGGAUCGGGAGGAGGAACAAACAGCUUUACAAAUGGCCAAGGUCAAGGCCGUUCAGGGGUAUGCACUUACAAAGACUUCACCAACGGAAAACCUAUUCCCUUUUAUGGGACUGGGGGAGUAUUGGCUCUAUCUCAAUGGAUAGAGAAAACGGAAGCUGUAUUCAAAAUUUGCGCAUGCCCUGAAGAAAGCAAAGUAAAGUUUGCUGCUUUUACUUUCUCUGAACGCGCCCUGACAUGGUGGAACGGCCACGUCAAGACACUAACCCUAGUGGUGGCGAACUCCAUGGGUUGGGAAAACUUGAAACGAAUGCUCCUUCGAGAGUACUGCCCAAGAGGCGAGAUUCAGAAGCUUGAACAGGAACUGUGGAGCCUUUCGAUGGUAGGCUCGGACAUAGCAGGUUACACCAACAGGUUCAGUGAUUUGAUAACACUUUGCCCAGGAAUACUAACCCUGGAAAGCCAAAAGGUCGAGAGAUACAUCUGGGGACUAUCACCCCAACUUCGAGGAAGUGUGUUAGCUUCCAAACCCGUGACCUUUGACAGUGCCAAGGAACUGGCGCAAUCUCUCGUUGAUCAUGGUGUCUGUCAAGGAGUCACGGCUAUCAUGGCUGAACCAACCAAAGGGAACAGCAACAACGAGAUGAAUGCCAACAACAACAACAACAAGAAGAAAUUCUGGAACAAGAGAAAAGGGCAAACAUAGCAAGAGCCUUCAAAGAAACAAAUAGUUGCGGUUCAAACACUUACUUAAUCAAAUACCCCAAUCACUCAAUAAAAUAUUCACUAUAGAAAUGGCUAAUGGUAAAACAGAAAGCACAAGUGAUAUGUACGUAGGGUGCACACUAAAUUUAAACGAACACUUAUUUCAAAUCGAACUAAUGCCCAUCUCCAUAAGAAGUUUCGAUGUCAUCAUCGGUAUGGACUGGUUGAGCCUUUACCAUGCCGAUAUACUUUGUCACGAAAGGGCCGUUCACCUAAAUCUGCCAAACGGCGAAACCCUUGUCAUUUAUGGUGACAAACCUAGUUCAAGUUUACAAAUCAUCUCCUGUGUUAAGGCACAAAAAUAUCUUCGUAAGGAAUACCAUGCCUUUCUAGCCCACAUAGUAGACCAGAAAAAAGAACCAAAGAACAUUAAAGACAUUCUGGAAGUCUGCAACUUCCCAGAUAUUUUCCCAGAAGAUCUUCCAGGAAUUCCACCAGAGCGCCAAGUUGAAUUCAGAAUCGACUUAAUCCCCGGAGCUACCCCAGUAGCAAAGUCGCCUUACCGUUUAGCCCCAGCCAAGAUGCAGGAACUGUCCAGUCAAUUAAACGAGCUGCUGAGCAAGGGAUUCAUCAGACCGAGCUUCUCACCAUGGGGAGCACCAGUCCUAUUCGUGAAAAAGAAGGACGGAUCCUUUCGCAUGUGCAUCGAUUAUCGGGAGCUGAACAAACUCACGAUCAAGAACCGAUAUCCCCUACCGCGCAUAGACGAUCUGUUCGACCAACUGCAGGGAGCAAGCUACUUCUCAAAGAUCGAUCUAAGAUCUGGUUAUCACCAACUGCGAGUGCUGGAAGGAGACAUCCCCAAAACAGCUUUCUGAACACGUUAUGGUCACUACGAGUUUGUAGUAAUGCCCUUCGGAUUGACAAAUGCUCCAGCGGUGUUCAUGGACUUGAUGAACCGAGUAUGUCGUCCCUUCCUAGAUAAAUUUGUGAUUGUGUUCAUAGAUGAUAUAUUCAUAUAUUCUAGAAGCCAGGAAGAACACAGCCAACACCUCCGCCAAGUUUUGGAAACGUUGAGGGCAGAAAAGCUUUACGCAAAAUUUUCCAAGUGCGAAUUUUGGAUUCGGAAAGUGGAUUUCCUAGAACAUGUAGUAAGCAAGUAGGGGAUACACGUGGAUCCUUCUAAGAUCAAGGCAAUAGAAAGUUGGACGACACCAAGGACCCCUACAGAAAUCCGGAAAUUUUUGGGACUUGUUGGGUAUUACCGAAGGUUCAUACAGAACUUUUCGAAGAUUACCAAACCACUCACCACCCUCACUCAGAAGAAUGUGACCUUCGACUGGGGAGAAAAACAAGACGCCUCGUUUCAAAUGCUAAAGUGAGCCUUAUGUAGUGCGCCCAUCCUAACCUUGCCCGACGGAACGGAGGACUUCGUGGUCUAUUGUGAUGCAUCAAACCAAGGACUUGGGUGUGUCCUGAUGCAACGAGGGAAGGUCAUCGCCUACGCCUCAAGGCAACUAAAGACGCACGAAGUGAACUACACAACGCACGAUCUUGAGCUAGGAGCAGUCAUCUUCGCUCUAAAGAUAUGGAGACACUAUCUCUACGGCACGAAAUGUACGAUCNCCAUAAAAGCCUCCAACACAUCCUCAACCAGAAAGAACUCAACAUGAGACAAAUACGGUGGGUAGAACUGCUAAAUGAUUAUGAAUGCGAGAGUCGAUAUCAUCCCGGAAAGUCUAACGUGGUGGCCGAUGCACUCAACCGGAAGGAAUACUCGGGCCGCAGAGUGAAGUCUUUAACCAUGACAAUCCAUUCACACCUGUCCACACAAAUCAAGGAAGCCCAAAUAGAAGCCUUAACAUCUGCAAAUGUGGCAGGGGAAGCCUUAAGGGGAAUGGAUAAGAAGUUUGAGAUCAAGAAUGAUGGAGUUCAUUACUUUAUGAAUCGGAUCUAGACGCCGAAGUUUGGCGGAUUCAGAGAAGUCGUCAUGAACGAAGCCCAUAAAACGCGAUACUCCAUACACCCCGGCUCCGAUAAAAUGUAUCUCGACCUCAAGAAAUUAUAUUGGUGGCCGAACAUGAAGGCCGAAAUUGCUACCUACGUGAGUAAGUGUCUGACGUGUGCCAAGGUGAAGGUAGAAUACCAAAAGCCCUCAGGAUUGUUGCAACAACCAGAAAUACCAGAAUGGAAGUGGGAACGUAUAACCAUGGAUUUCACAACCAAACUACCCAGAACAUAAAGUGGACUCGACACUAUUUGGGUGAUUGUCAACAGGUUAACUAAAUCAGCACACUUCCUACCGAUCAAAGAGACGGAUAAAUUAGAAAUGCUAACUAGGACAUACCUCAGAGAAAUUGUACGACUACAUGGUGUGCCCAUAUCCAUUAUCUCGGACCGAGAUAGUAGGUUCACCUCAAGGUUCUGGAAAUCGCUACAAAAAGCUUUGGGGACAAGGCUAGACAUGAGUACCACUUAUCACCCACAAACCGACGGCCAGAGCGAGAGAACCAUACAAACCCUAGAAGAUAUGCUGAGGUCCUGCGUAAUCGAUUUUGGCAAGGCAUGGGACACACAUCUACCCUUGGUCGAAUUUUCGUACAACAAUAGUUACCACACUAGUAUCAAGGCUGCCCCGUUUGAAGCCCUCUAUGGCCGCAAAUGCAGGUCACCUUUGUGAUUGGCCGAAGUGGGGGACACGCAGCUAGCAAAAGGACAAGCAACAGACAAUACGCUUACUGGACCAGAAAUCAUAAGGGAAACUACGGAGAAGAUUGUUCAGAUUCGGGAACGUCUAAAAGCAUCAAUGGACAGACAAAAGAGUUACGCAGAUAAAAGACGAAAACCUUUGGAAUUCCAGGUCGGAGAUCGAGUCCUACUAAAGGUCUCGCCCUGGAAGGGAUUAAUACGCUUCGAAAAGCACAGGAAAGUGAACCCUAGAUACAUCGGACCAUUCGAGAUCCUUGCCAGGAUCGGGCCAGUGGCUUACAAACUCAGAUUACCUCAGGAGCUCCACAACAUACACCCUACAUUUCACGUAUCAAACCUAAAGAAGUGCUUAUCCGAUGAGACCCUUGUCAUCCCUCUAGACGAAAUUGCAAUAAAUGAAAAUCUCCAAUUUGUAGAGGAACCAGUAGAGAUCAUGGAUCGGGAAAUAAAAAGGACUAAACAAAGCCGCAUACCUAUUGUAAAGGUCCGCUGGAACGCCAAGCGAGGACCUGAAUACACAUGGGAACCUGAGGAUCACAUAAAACAAAAGUACCUGCAUCUUUUUCCUAACCUGUAAACUCCACCUUAGAUUAAAUUUCGGGACGAAAUUCCCUUAACGGGGGGAUGAUGUGACAACCCUAUAUUUUCCAAAAACAGUGUAACGCUCAAAUGUCAAAUUCAACGAAAACUAUUUUGAAUUAACCUCACAAAUAAAGUGUUCAAAUAUCUAAGUUGGGAUGCAUCAAAUAUUAGAUAUCGUGCCAAGGUUUCCAAAAACAUAAAGAACGUUCAAAACCGGGUUAUAUUGAGGAAAUUAUAACUGCUCGUAUAAUUACGACAUACCGUUAAAACGCUAUUUAACGUAAAAAGUGAAAUUUCAAUAAAAUGCAUUUUAGCCUUAAGUAUCUAAACAAAAGUCGUAGAUUUCGUUAAAUGGUAAGCGUGCAUAAAAAGAUCGCCAAAAUUGGACUUCGUAUGAAGAAGUUACGAAUUUCCUAAGUUUCGUAACAGUAGUAGAGGGCUAAAAACUCAAAUUGAAGAUUGAGUGUUAUUUAGCUAUCGCCACCUAAACGGAAGUUGNCAUAGUAGUAAUAAAAAGAUAAAAAGACAAACGAAAACCAACGUCGAAUAAAGAACCUAUGAAUUUUUAACGGACUUUAGGAGGCCCGGACUAUUAAAAUUAUAUCAUUAAAAAUAAAUUCAAAACUAGCCGAUGGAGUCGAAAUGAAUGUUAUAGAGUAUAAUCUCACCUACGCGUGGAUAUGAAGAACACGAAAAACGGAGCCCGUACACGAAAGUUAUGGAAUUUAGAAGACGGGAGCCGGGAUUACGUCGUGCGUAAUAUUGGAGUACGCCCCGCGUACUAGACCCAGAGUCGAGUGCCAUCGGCUGCACUUCUACGCUUAGCUAGACCGGAGUCGUAAGCCAUGACGCAUUUCUAUGCCCCGCGUAACCGAAGUACGCCCAGCGUACUCCGGAGGUACGCCCCACAUACGCCAUCCUCCAGUACUAUAAAUACAAGGUUUGAGCCUCGGGUUUUUGCACACCUUCUCAAACUCUCAGUCACUCUCCCAUACUUCUAAGCUCCAGAGAUCAUCCCGAUGCCCUCGAUUUCCGCACUCGAGCCCCCGACGAAAGAUCUACGCUGCAGAGAUCCCCGAAGAGCCCGAAGACGCAACUUUCCCCGGUCGAAAUUCUGCUCAACUCUAGUCUCUCUCUUCAAACCAAACGAGUGAGUCCAUACCCCUACUUUUCAAUUCUUUUCAUGUUUUAGGGGGGAAAUACAAGUACAUUACAAGUCAAAGUAUCGUUUUAUAAACAUAAUUAUAAUAUCUAUUUUAUAGGAUAUUGAUACAAACAUAUUUAUGUUUAAAGGGCUAUUAUAUCAACUAGUUAUUCUUACUAAAUGGAAACAUACUUUUUGAGGAACUAUAACGAGUAAAAUUAACAAGUUAUUCAUACAUUUUACAUAUACAUUUUGACAAAUGAAAUACUUUCAAACGAAGUAAAGUCUUUCUUAUCGUAAAUCUGUUUAUACCAAGUAAUGUGAGAUAUUCAAACUUCAACAUACUCUUAUGUAUGCAUUUCAAGUCUUGUAUUAUAUACUAUAAUCUCUUGGAGAGAGAGCGUGAUACUUGUGUAUAGAUCUAUACGGGAUUGACAACCCCGCACCUAAACUAUUAGCUUUAGUUAGACCGGCAGGUCUGGGGUGACAAAUGUCAUAACACUACAACACCUGAAGAAUGUUGUUACAGGCCGUCAGUGUCAAUAGUAUGGUUAUAAAACUCACAUAAAAGUAUAAAAACAAGUUUGAUUUACGAGAUUCAUAUAUGCAUUCAGUUUUCCACAUUAUUUUUAGCACAAAGUUUAUCAUUAUUAUUCAAGUAUGGAACAUACUAACGCACUCCAACUCUGGAAACUUUUCAAACCAUUUAUAGAAAAUAUUGGAUUUUCUGAAAACCUCGUUCAUCGAUUUACUACCAAAAGGACAUACUUUUCAAUGCAAAACACUUAUGAACUCACCAACUUAAUUGUUG
rnacentral:lncRNA from 1 species